rnacentral:rRNA from 1 species
GACGAACGCUGGCGGCGUGCUUAACACAUGCAAGUCGAGCGGAGCGGCGAACGGGUGAGUAACGCGUGAGUAACUGCCCCCCUCUCUGGGAUGACAGUUGGAAACGGCUGCUAAUACCGGAUAGUGGGGGAUGACUCGCGUCCUAUCAGCUUGUUGUUGGGGUAGUGGCCUACCAAGGCGACGACGGGUAGCCGGCCUGAGAGGGCGACCGGACACAUUGUGCUGGGAUACCGCCCAAACUCCUACUGGAGGCAGCAGUGCGGAAUAUUUCACAAUGUGGGAAACCCUGAUGCAGCAACGCCGCGUGCGGGAUUACGGCCUUCGGGUUGUAAACCGCUUUCAGCCAUGACGCGGUAGUGGCAGAAGAAGCACCGGCUAAUUACGUGCCAGCCGCCGCGGUAAUA